rfam:Gossypium raimondii Chr01_contig_307, whole genome shotgun sequence.
UUUUAAAAAUGUCAUCCAUACUAUUAAAAACUGGCUUAGCUCGUGGAAUAAUUAGAUAAUUACACGUGGCGUGUCAUACGUACCUCAUGGUGACAUAUAUGAACCAAUUUUUAAUGGUAAAAAUAAAUGAAAGUUUCAACA